rnacentral:rRNA from 1 species
UAAGGAAUAUUGGUCAAUGGACGGAAGUCUGAACCAGCCAUGCCGCGUGCAGGAAGACGGCCCUAUGGGUUGUAAACUGCUUUUGCAGGGGAAUAAACCUCGGUACGUGUACCGAGUUGAAUGUACCUUGAGAAUAAGGAUCGGCUAACUCCGUGCCAGCAGCCGCGGUAAUACGGAGGAUCCGAGCGUUAUCCGGAUUUAUUGGGUUUAAAGGGUGCGUAGGCGGCCUGUUAAGUCAGGGGUGAAAGACGGUAGCUCAACUAUCGCAGUGCCCUUGAUACUGAUGGGCUUGAAUAUACUAGAGGUAGGCGGAAUGUGACAAGUAGCGGUGAAAUGCAUAGAUAUGUCACAGAACACCAAUUGCGAAGGCAGCUUACUAUGAUAUGAUUGACGCUGAGGCACGAAAGCGUGGGGAUCAAAC